rnacentral:lncRNA from 1 species
CGAUCCCUCCGCACUCCGGAACGUGACUUCAGUUGGUCGCAAACCUAUAAAGUAGUGCACUUUUCUUCCUUCAUGGGGCCUUCAGGAUACUCUGUAACGCCCCAGUUACUCCCCGAGCACAGCGGAGAAGGGUUUGGACGGGCCAGAGCGUCAAUGGGAUAGGGUUAGGUGGAGCGGCGGCGGGAUCACGUGACCACGGUGGGAGGAUACGGGGUGUACUGCGUCCCUCACCGAUUCUAUAAAAGGCGGGUUUAGGGCGUGUCGCCGCCAUUUCUGCUUGCUCUGUGGUAGAUGUCUCUCUGUACGCUGUUCCUUUCCUCUUCCCCUCCCGCAGGGCUUGCGGCCACCAUGGCGUAUUAGAGGCAGCAGAGCCUGCGGCAGCGUUGGCCUUUGCAGCGGCGGCAGCAGCACCAGGCUCUGCAGCGGCAACCCCCACCGGCUUAAGCCAUGGCGCUCUUCACGAAACCCAGCAGCAGCGUUGCUGUAACGGACAAAGAUACCUUCGAGUUAAGCACAUUCCUCGAUACCAGCAAAUCCCUACAACAUGACCGAGAUGAGCUUCCUGAACAGCGAAGUGUUGGCGGGGGACUUAAUGUCCCCCUUCGACCAGUCGGGUUUGGGGGCUGAAGAAAGCCUAGGUCUCUUAGAUGACUAUCUGGAGGUGGCCAAGCACUUCAAACCUCAUGGGUUCUCCAGCGACAAGGCGGGCUCCUCAGAAUGGCUGGCUAUGGAUGGGUUGGUCAGUGCCUCAGACACCGGCAAGGGUGAGUAGGGAGGACACCUGCACCAGUGUGCUCUUUUCAUGUGGGUUUGGUGUUCUAAAGGUUUUCUGCCUCUAGUAUGAACCGUUCUCUCCUGAAAUUUUUUUCCCCAGAGGAUGCCUUUUCCGGGACAGAUUGGAUGUUGGAGAAAAUGGACCUGAAAGAGUUUGACUUCGAUGCUCUGUUUCGAAUGGAUGACCUGGAAACCAUGCCA